CAGAGUAGAAGGGUCGGCGUCAAGUGCCGGGCGAACAGGGAGUUGUCGUCCGGACGAAGCCGGAGCAACGGCGCGGUCGGUCCUUCGCAUCCCGCUG
rnacentral:ncRNA from 1 species